CUCCUUUUUCUUCUGUCCGCCCCCGAGCUGGAUGCAGAGCAGCAGCAGCAAGAGGAGGAAGGGAAAGCUACCAGUAGGCAGGUAGCGCAACCGGCGGCCCGCCUGUCUCCGGCGUGAAGGAGCGGCCCUGGCACUCAUGGCCGCAGGGCUGUGUCUCCUCCACGCGCGGUAGCCGUGCGCGCCCAGCUCCUACCGUGCCCGCGCCCGCCAGGCCAGUCGCCAGCAGCCUCUCCUGGCCAAGGCCUCGGGGUGGCAGCGGCUUCUCCAGGGAGCUGGGUGGAGGCUAAGGACGCGGAGGAGGAGGAGACUGACAGCGCAUCCGGUUCACCAGGAGAGGGACAAGAAUGGCGCGGGAUGGAGCAGGAAGUGGGCGUGGCGAGAAAGCGGCUCUGUGCGCGCGCGUCUCCGCUGCUCUCUCCGGGGCUUCCUGUGUGCAAGCAUCAAGAAGUAACCCCUUGCUUUCACCUCUGACCCAACGCUGGGCUGCCCACUAAGCACACAGGGCACAGGAGUGUGCAAUGAGCCCGUUGAGCCAACCUGCCAUCUGGAUCAGGAGGACAUCCCGCUGCCUUCUUGCACCAGAAGGUUCCCAUCACUUUAAUAAGUUGCUAGGGACCCCUAUAUGUAUUCUCUUGAGGUCCUUACCACACUUGAAACACAACAUAGUUGCCUGGAUGUACAUGAGUGUUCUACACUUUGCCCCGGGGUUUCUUCCACCUCCCAUCAGGGCCCUUAGAAGCCAACCUGGCUAGAAGCUAUUCAUUCACUAUUCAUGAAGUUAGCAGCAUUGCUCUAGAAACUAACAACAUUUUUCUAUUCAAAAAUGAAUAGAGCGUAAUAAAGGCAUCUUGUAACUGCA
rnacentral:lncRNA from 1 species